GUCCCGACGGUAAACGAUGGGCACUAGGUGUCGGAGGUAUCGACCCCUCCGGUGCCGCAGUUAACACAUUAAGUGCCCCGCCUGGGGAGUACGACCGCAAGGUUGAAACUCAAAGGAAUUGACGGGGGCCCGCACAAGCGGUGGAGUAUGUGGUUUAAUUCGACGCAACGCGAAGAACCUUACCUGGGCUUGACAUGUAACGGACGUGGUUAGAGAUAACCACUCGUCUUCGGACGUCGUUGCACAGGUGCUGCAUGGCUGUCGU
rnacentral:rRNA from 1 species